GGGUCCGGGCGUUGGGGGAUCGGGGAACCCCCUAAGACGGGGAUCCCCGGCCCCCGAAAUACAGUGGCGGUCUCGCCGCAGCCUCUCAUGCGCAGUAGUUUGCACAACUCGCACCGGGAGCGCGGCGCGUCCACGUCCGUAAAACACCCAACUUCUGAAAUGUUGACCUCGGAUCAGGUAGGAAUACCCGCUGAACUUAA
rnacentral:misc_RNA from 1 species